rnacentral:rRNA from 1 species
CGGCGUGCUUAACACAUGCAAGUCGAACGGAAAGGCCCUGCUUUUGUGGGGUGCUCGAGUGGCGAACGGGCGAGUAACACGUGAGUAACCUGCCCUUGACUUUGGGAUAACUUCAGGAAACUGGGGCUAAUACCGGAUAGGAGCUCCUGCUGCAUGGUGGGGGUUGGAAAGUUUCGGCGGUUGGGGAUGGACUCGCGGCUUAUCAGCUUGUUGGUGGGGUAGUGGCUUACCAAGGCUUUGACGGGUAGCCGGCCUGAGAGGGUGACCGGCCACAUUGGGACUGAGAUACGGCCCAGACUCCUACGGGAGGCAGCAGUGGGGAAUAUUGCACAAUGGGCGGAAGCCUGAUGCAGCAACGCCGCGUGCGGGAUGACGGCCUUCGGGUUGUAAACCGCUUUCGCCUGUGACGAAGCGUGAGUGACGGUAAUGGGUAAAGAAGCACCGGCUAACUACGUGCCAGCAGCCGCGGUGAUACGUAGGGUGCGAGCGUUGUCCGGAUUUAUUGGGCGUAAAGGGCUCGUAGGUGGUUGAUCGCGUCGGAAGUGUAAUCUUGGGGCUUAACCCUGAGCGUGCUUUCGAUACGGGUUGACUUGAGGAAGGUAGGGGAGAAUGGAAUUCCUGGUGGAGCGGUGGAAUGCGCAGAUAUCAGGAGGAACACCAGUGGCGAAGGCGGUUCUCUGGGCCUUUCCUGACGCUGAGGAGCGAAAGCGUGGGGAGCGAACAGGCUUAGAUACCCUGGUAGUCCACGCUGUAAACGGUGGGUACUAGGUGUGGGGUCCAUUCCACGGGUUCCGUGCCGUAGCUAACGCUUUAAGUACCCCGCCUGGGGAGUACGGCCGCAAGGCUAAAACUCAAAGGAAUUGACGGGGCCCCGCACAAGCGGCGGAGCAUGCGGAUUAAUUCGAUGCAACGCGUAGAACCUUACCUGGGUUUGACAUGGAUCGGGAGUGCUCAGAGAUGGGUGUGCCUCUUUUGGGGUCGGUUCACAGGUGGUGCAUGGCUGUCGUCAGCUCGUGUCGUGAGAUGUUGGGUUAAGUCCCGCAACGAGCGCAACCCUUGUUCACUGUUGCCAGCACGUUAUGGUGGGGACUCAGUGGAGACCGCCGGGGUCAACUCGGAGGAAGGUGGGGAUGACGUCAAGUCAUCAUGCCCCUUAUGUCCAGGGCUUCACGCAUGCUACAAUGGCUGGUACAGAGAGUGGCGAGCCUGUGAGGGUGAGCGAAUCUCGGAAAGCCGGUCUCAGUUCGGAUUGGGGUCUGCAACUCGACCUCAUGAAGUCGGAGUCGCUAGUAAUCGCAGAUCAGCAACGCUGCGGUGAAUACGUUCCCGGGGCUUGUACACACCGCCCGUCAAGUCAUGAAAGUUGGUAACACCCGAAGCCGGUGGCCUAACCGUUGUGGGGGAGCCGUCGAAGGUGGGACUGGUGAUUAGGACUAAAU